ACAAUCAUUUAGCCAGAGCUUGGCCUCCUGACAGACGUUUUUUUCUUCUCUCUCUGAUUCUGGCUCUCACUCUUUCUCCCUCGCUACUCUCUCUGCCUCCCCCUCUUUCUUUCUGCCUCCUCCUCUCUCUCUCUCUCUCUGUCUCCCCCUCUCUGUCUCCCCCUCUCUGUCUCUGUAUGCCACCCGCACCGCUUAAAGAUUUAGGAAGCAAGAAGUGGAUCCAGUAGAAUGGGUAGACAUACAGUACAUGUGUAGAUGGAUUUCUGCGGACAUACGGACAUACUUCCACGCAAACACACACCCCAUUCUGUGGUAUUCACACAGAAAGCAUACCGUACACAUAUAAUCCAAGCAUCUUCAUAUCGGCCUGCGUCACUAAUGUCAGGGUCUCCAGAACGGCUGCUUGUUUUGCAUACUGUACUUUUCAAGCUCGGGCCGAGGGCCCUUAGACGGCAGGUACCACCUCAAGUGGCAAUUAGUGGCGCCAUUCAGGUACCCAUGCGGCACCCCCCUCUCUAAAAACAUACUCUACCCUGCUCCUCUUUCCCUGUCUCUCACCUACCACACUCUUGUUCACAAAGAGGCGUCCAUCUUACAUGCUUUGACUAAAAAUCCAGAACUUAUCUCACGGUUUUGCUCUAAGCAGAGGCAGUGAGGCAGCUUAGCUUUUCUCCUCCAGCCCUGUGGUUUUUCCUCCUGUACAAAGUGUACAGUGUUUGCUGAUUUACUUGCCGUUCACUCGGGGAAAAAAUGUGUCCGUCUAUUUGUUCGGUGAUUUUUUUUGUUAGUUUUAUUAGCUGAUUAGUCGAUAUAGGUUAAUUCUAUUUUCACUGGUCUGAUUAUUUUGUGUGGUGAGGCUAGUUCCAUUUAGUUGUUUCUCUGGUGUUUCAAACUGUUAGAAUAUAUCGUUUUAAUUCUGGUCAAAUCUGAGGGUGAUGUAUUAUAAAUUAGUCGUUUUGUUGACUUUAAUGCCAUUGCGUUAUAAAUGUGGCCUGCUUUUACGAAACUGAAGUGGCCCCAGCGAGUCAGAGGCACAAAGCAAAUGCGUAUUGCUCAAGAGCCCAACCCACAACGUCCCUCUGCUCUGCUCAGAUAAACUGUACGCUGUGCUAAUCAAGCUUCAAAGUAUUUGGUUUGCAGAUAAAACACAACUGAUUUGCAGUUAUUUGAUUAUUUAUAGUGCUAGCCGUAGCUGGACACUGCUAAGUAUUGUAGCAUAAAUUGUCCACAUAGAUGGGGGUAUUGUGUAAAUGAUCUGUAGAAAAAGUGACUGUCACUGGACCUGUUAGUACACUCAGUCUUUGCAGUACUUGUAGCCGUCUCGCAUCUCUGUUCCCUUUUUGUAUACAUUGGUGUCAAUUAAAGAUAGAAUUUGUUAGCUGAUUGAGUUUCCCUAUUCAUUAGACUUGAUGUUUGGUGAGCUUUUUGAAAUACUUGCCACUGUUCUGUACUGUAAUCCCAAUUGAACAGCUAGCUGUAGGUUUAAGACGGAGAUUCUAACAUGGAAAUAGCAAUCAGCCAUAGCGAUUGUUUAUUGAUUCGACAAAAGAUCUGCGGCAGUCUUUUUGCUCUAGUAUGGGCCACCGUACUUUUUCCUUCCACACUGCCGCCUGCAGUGAAAGAGGAUUUUUAUCCCACGUUUCUGAUUUCUUUCUCACUCUCUCUCUCUGUCAUUCAUUUCAUUUCAUUCUCCUCGUUUUUUCCCAGCCUGGAUUCUCAGAUGUUUGCCCCCUUCUCCUGCACAACGAGUCACAGCCCUGCUGCCACCAUCUUAGAAUAGGACUAGGACUGGCACAAAAUGGCAGUGACCCAUCACAUUGAAGUUAUGUCACAGCCAGUCCACCACCUUCCGACGGCCACCCCACCUCACCAAUGGUGAGGUCCAUUUCCGAACGUAGUGGUGCCCACCUGACCUAAAUGGAACCGGAUUGGCUCCUCUUCCAUUUUUCUCUGCCCCAGUAUUUAAACCUGAAGCCCUUUGUGGACGUUGAACGAUCUCCUUUUGGUUGGGGUGAACUUUAGGCACAUGCCUGGACAUGCCUGACAAACUGAAAAUGGGGUAAUGUACUGUUGGGUCAUGGAUACCAGUGGAUACCCAACCACAGCUGCCUCUGUGGGCUUCAUCCCCAGACCGUCUUUGGAUACACCAAUCAAAGGACAAGUUGAAAUGGACCACUGUGAACUAGUGUGUCUCUGUCCUCCUACAACUAACUGACUGGAUACAUGGACAGAAAUGGAGGGUGUGAGAUGUGUGUGUUCUGUGUUGUGAUGGUACACUGUCUUCUCUGAGACGACUCUACACACAGCUGUGUCCGUCACAUCUGCAAUACAUUCGACACGGGUCAGCAUGCUGAUCUGUUCAUGUGUGCUGUGCUUGUUUGUGUAUAUGUGCUUGUUUGUCUAAGCGCAUACACUUUGAGUCACCCUCACUCAGAGCAAGUUCUGUUCUGGGAUUGUAAGCAACACACGCACACACAUCACAAAUCAUAGUAAAUGUCUUUUAACCUCCUUAUGGUUAACGGACAUAGGAUUUAUCAUGUGCUUAUGCUACCUGGCAAAAAUAAUAUUUGCAACUGGAGGAGGUUGUAUGGUUUAGUAGUAGAAUCGCACUGCAGCACUGAUUUUAUUAUCAAGGGGAGGAUACAACUGGUAAAUAAGUAUCUUAUAUUGGACAGCCCACAUAGUAUUCAGAUCAUUUAUGUAUAGAUAGAACACGUACAAUUAAUUAAAAUAAAACAUAGAAAUGUGCUAAUUGAGUGAUUUAAACAAUUGUAGUAUAGAAAUCAGAGUAGGACGAUAAUUUAUGUGUUAUUUAGUUUACAUAAUGGAUAUGAAUACUAGUUUAGUUAGAAUUUCUCAAAUUAUUUUCAAAAUGUGAAAAUGUGUGUAUUUUUUGUUGUUGUGUAUAUUAUUUCUAUGCAUCUUUUGAAACCUAUGCAAAUGAAUCCACAAAGUAGAUAUUUUAGAAUUUGCUAAUGACGAUCAUUCAAUUUCUCAGAGGGUUUAGAUUUUUCCCCAGACAAUCUGUUGUAUACUGUAGGGUGAUGUGAGAGAUUAGAAAUGAAAGUGCAAUACAGGAACGUUUCUGAGCCCUGCUCCAGACAGCAAAAUAUGUUGGGAUUUUACAGCGUUUUUCUCAACUGAUUUGGAUUUUUAGAUAUUUUUUAGAAGUGUAUCAAUAUCAAAAUAUAAACAUUGGAAUGUUUAAUUUGCUUAACUGUCUGAGUCUUAAAUUAACGGAUUGACUAGAAAGUUGCAUAUACAGUUUUCCAAACAAUUAUUUUGGGAUUUCAUGUGAACAUUUUUACUCUAUGCAACUUUUAUACUUUGUAACUUUUUGUAAUAAAUAAUAUGACUAUCAUUCGGAGCAACUGCAAUUCAUAUUUGUUUCACUGUUUAAGACUUCAUUUGAGAAACUAUGCAAUGGCUGUAUACUAAAUGUGUUUGAUAGUGUGAUGUACUGUACGGUUUUACAACAAUGUGUACUCUACAUGAACAACAAAUGUGUACUCUUUGAGCAUAGUAUGUAAUAGCCUGUAAAUAUACUGUACGUUAUCAAGACCGCACUAUAUGUAGUUGGUUAUGGGCAAUUUGUUGUGGGGAAUGUGCAAUCAGAGUGCAUGUGUGCACUACAUGAGUUUAAACUGUAAACAGUCAGGGUGAAGUGUGUGUAGAAUGAUGCAUCAUGUAGAAAGCAAGAGUACAAUAGAUGGAAUGUGUGCAAUGUGUGUGGAGGCAUGCACUACGCUGAGGGUGAGUGCAAUGUUUUAAUGACAAUGUUGGAUUUUAAAGAGAUGUUUGCAUGAGUGCACUAUGGCCCACAAGAUCAUAGACUAUGUUAGGCAUGUUUGCAAAUGACCUGUGAAUCCUGACUGUAGGGGACUGACUCGUUCUUGUACCAUGGACUCUGUACGAUUAAGUCAACACAAUAAAUGUUUACAUUUAAAAAAAAUAAAAACACAUGUCUGUCUGG
rnacentral:lncRNA from 1 species